rnacentral:misc_RNA from 1 species
CGCACAUUGCGCCCGCCAGUAUUCUGGCGGGCAUGCCUGUUCGAGCGUCAUUUCAACCCUCAAGCCCCCACCGGCUUGGUGUUGGGGAUCGGCCCGCUCCUCGCGGCAGCCGGCCCCGAAAUCUAGUGGCGGUCUCGCUGUAGCCUCCUCUGCGUAGUAGCAACACCUCGCACUGGGACGCGGCGCGGCCACGCCGUAAAACACCCCACUUCUGAAGGUUGACCUCGGAUCAGGUAGGAAUACCCGCUGAACUUAA